GCCAGCGUGGUGUAGUGGUUUGAGCUUUUGACUAUGGCUCUGGAGGUCAGGGUUAAAUUCUCUGCUUGGCC